ACUCGCUUUCAAAUAGAUAAAGGGCAUUAUUGCACAUGAACCUUCGUCGCCAAGCAAGGUUUAGCAGAAGUUAUUUUUGUUUUACUAAUACCUAGCAAUCAAAUAGCCUAACCCAGGAGCAAUGGUAUACUGCCCGAGGUGUUGGCUGCACCAUGGAAUAAGGGUUCUUAAUCUUGUGGCCAACUUCUUUGGCAUGGGCAUGAUUGUUUACUCCCUCUGGUUGCUGAAAUUAUGGAGGGAAGGACUUGUAGAAGAAGGUGCCUCAUCAUCAUCUUUACCUAGACCUUGGUUCAUCUACGCAUUUCUAGGGCUAGGCAUCGUUGCCUGCUUUAAUGCACUCAUUGGGCACAUGGUAUCUAAUUGUAUCAAUACAAUUGCUCUCUCCAUUGUAUCCUUCUAUAUAUGCAUGGUGUGAAACCAUCUCUUGGAUAUAAGCUAUUUGGGGAAUCCUAUUAUCACUUCCACAGAUUUCAUGUUAGCAGGUUCUCAAAAUAAAUCUUGAACAAUUUUCUGGGUUCAGAUGAAAUUAAUGAAUGAAUGGGAAACCAUCAUGAAUCUGCUCUCAACUAAUUGGAUCUGUAGAGAAUCUGUUUUCUUUAAAUGUUUCCAUUAACAGAUGUUUAUUAUAUAUUCAAACAAAGGAAAUAUUGCACAUUCACAAUCUUAAAUGCUUCUCGGUGGACUCAAUUUGCACAACUGUGUCAUUUCCAUGUAUCUAGAUGGGAAUAGCAUUAAGAACAUACUGACAUUUCACCUAAAUGCAUGUCGCCUGAUCAGCAUUACAACUAUGGUAGCACAGGUGAGUGUGUUGGUGCUGGAUAUUGUUUUGUGGGCUUUGGGACCCCCACCAAGGAAUCAUUGUGGAAGCCCUGCAACACCCAACUUGAGAUGCUCCUUUCUAGUGUUGAGAUCCGACUCACCGCCAGCUCUCCCAGCUUCAGCCCCAGUCUUUGCAAGGAGAAUCCAGUCUUCAAGCAGUGCUGCUUGCUGAUUCUGGCCAACAAAGAAACCAUUUAUUUCAAGUUGGAUAGGGACAGAUGCUACAGUCUACAUAAGACUAACCUAAGUUUUAAAAAUCAUAUAAUCCAUAACUUUUAGAAGACAAAACUCUCUGCUUGCAAACAUUGCAUGUCACCUUAGCAAAUGGUGUUUGCUGAGCCAUGGGCUUGUCACAAUUUGCACCAAUUAGCAGCUCAGACUUUUUUCUGUGGUGCCACCACAAAGUAAUAUUUUCCAUUCAUUCU